rnacentral:rRNA from 1 species
AUGAAAGAGUAUCCAUAUAAUGGAACAACAAAAAACCGCCGCCGAUUCCAGUAUAGUUAUUUCAUUGAUUGGCCUUGGCUAGAGUAUUCACUUGUCACACAUCGUGCAUACUGCCUCUAUUGUUUCCUCUUUACGAAAAAGCCAACUGGAAAGUGUGGUUCAAGUGCAUUCACAGUGGAUGGAUUUAUAAACUGGAGAAAGGUGAAUGAUGGCAAAGAUUGUGCUUUUAUAACCCACAUGGGAAAAGAUUCCAACUCAGCUCAUAGCUAUUCAGCCCGUUGUUAUGAAAAUCUGAAAAAUAGAUUGAACCACAUUGACAAGGCGAUGGUACAAGUAUGUACAAAAAAGGUUGCAGCUGCAAGGUUAAGACUUAAAGUCACAAUUGAUUCCAUUAGGUAA